AGCUGUCUAGCACGUGCAGACAAUGCACUAUCAUAAAUACAAGCCAAACAUCCGAACGCUGAAAGAAAGUUUUGCGCUUUUGGAUUAUAACGACAAAACUGGAUCACUCUUCAAUGGACUUUCACGUGUUUUAGAUAAAACUCUUCGUGGAUAACUUCCUGACAUAGGUUCUUGUGUGGGAGCUGAGGCCUUUCCCAGUCACAACAGAAACCAGAGGCUGAGGUUGAUUUCAUGACUUCCUCCUCAUUGUUUGCCUGUCUGUGUGACUGGAAACCGGUAGUGACAGACAGAUGACUCUGGUUGCUCUUAAACUGAACUUGUGGAGAAACUGGACCUAGCUCCCCUUUAGAAGUAGUCACUAAUCAAGGCCGACGGCAGAGUGCCAUGCUUUUCCCUCACUUCUGAGGCGACAUAACCUGUCAUGCUGACCUUGUUGCUCAACUCUGUUUUCAGCUUGAUGUCCAAAUUAUCCCGGCGCAUUGCUGCCAAGUUGCUGCAGGGGUUUACACACAAUCCUGCACCCAGUGGUCAUUUUGGAGUUCAGCGGCAAAGAGCAUCAAGGAAGCAUUACCACAUCACUCACAGUUCAGCUCUCCGGCAUUGCCCUGACCUCCUGAACCCUGA